rnacentral:rRNA from 1 species
CCUACGGGUGGCAGCAGUGGGGAAUAUUGGACAAUGGGCGAAAGCCUGAUCCAGUCAUGCCGCGUGUGUGAAGAAGGCCUUCGGGUUGUAAAGCACUUUCAGUGGGGAAGAAAGCCUUGGGGCUAAUACCCUCGAGGAAGGACAUCACCCACAGAAGAAGCACCGGCUAACUCCGUGCCAGCAGCCGCGGUAAUACGGAGGGUGCGAGCGUUAAUCGGAAUUACUGGGCGUAAAGCGCGCGUAGGCGGUCUGAUAAGCCGGUUGUGAAAGCCCCGGGCUCAACCUGGGAACGGCAUCCGGAACUGUCAGGCUAGAGUGCAGGAGAGGAAGGUAGAAUUCCCGGUGUAGCGGUGAAAUGCGUAGAGAUCGGGAGGAAUACCAGUGGCGAAGGCGGCCUUCUGGACUGACACUGACGCUGAGGUGCGAAAGCGUGGGUAGCAAACAGGAUUAGAUACCCCAGUAGUC